ACACGUGGACCACAAAGUCUUGAAGCAACUCUGGACCUUUAUUUGGAGGAUUAUCCAUCUGAGUCCUGCAUCUUAUGAGCAAGUCUUCGCUGUCUUUAGAAGUGGUGGCCAAAGGACACUCCACCUACUUUAGACUCCUCGUCUCAUGUUGCUCGGUGGAAAAGUGCCUUUGACAGCUGGACACUGGAUGAUCAGCCUUGAGGAUCGUAUGUGGGGGGGGUCCACUCAACGUUUGUGACAGGGCUUUCUGCUCUGUUUACAGAUUGAACAUCUUUA